AGUGAACGCUGGCGGUAGGCCUAACACAUGCAAGUCGAACGGCAGCACAGUAAGAGCUUGCGCUUACGGGUGGCGAGUGGCGGACGGGUGAGGAAUACAUCGGAAUCUACUUUUACGUGGGGGAUAACGUAGGGAAACGUACGCUAAUACCGCAUACGACCUACGGGGGAAAGCACGGGAUCGUCGGACCUUGCGCGAGGGAAUGAGCCGAUGUCGGAGUAGCUAGUUGGCGGGGUAAAGGCCCACCAAGGCGACGAUCCGUAGCUGGUCCGAGAGGAUGAUCCGCCACCCUGUAACUGAGACACGUUCCCGACUCUUACGGGAGGCCGCAGUGGGGACUAUUGCACAAUGGGCGCAUGCCUGAUCCAGCCCUACUGCGUGGGUGCAGAAGGCCUUCUGGUUGUAAAGCCCUUUUGUUGUGAAAGAAAAGCAGCAGGUUAAUCCCCCGCUGUUAUGACGGUACCCAAAGAAUAAGCACCGGCUAACUUCGUG
rnacentral:rRNA from 1 species